rnacentral:rRNA from 1 species
GGGCGCGAGCGUUGUCCGGAUUUAUUGGGCGUAAAGAGCUCGUAGGCGGCUUGUUUCGUCGACUGUGAAAACCCGCGGCUUAACCGCGGGCUUGCAGUUGAUACGGGCAGGCUAGAGUUCGGUAGGGGAGACUGGAAUUCCUGGUGUAGCGGUGAAAUGCGCAGAUAUCAGGAGGAACACCGGUGGCGAAGGCGGGUCUCUGGGCCGAUACUGACGCUGAGGAGCGAAAGCGUGGGGAGCGAACAGG